GGUCGAGUGGCCCAAUGGCAAGGCGUCUGACUACGAGCUCAUACAGGGUUUAGAUAAUCAGAAGAUUGUGGGUUCGAAUCCCAUCUUGAUCA
rnacentral:tRNA from 1 species